GCUGCUAGGUCUGGCUUCAGUCUCCAUUUGACAUUCUCUACGUGCGGUUCCCGUUCUCGCUGCUGCGCCGUUCUCGUCGUCGCGCUUUUAACUUUAUCGCCCAGUAGCAAGCAGCAGAGCACAAUAGCCCUACAGACAUUGCCCAUUGCCCAAGCAGUCGCAUUGCCAUUUGCCAUUGCCUAACGGAAAAAAAGCGGAAAUUUUGUUAUAAUUUUUCGCAAUCGCUGUUCUCAAGCUUACGCCGAAUUUCGCCCAAAAGCUUUCGAAGAGUCGCUAGCGCAGGUGAAUUGCUUGCGUUUCAGUUGCGCGCGCGUUUUUUCUAGCUUAGCACGAGAUUGGUUGCCAGCCGUUUAUCGCAGUGUUGCUUAGACUUGACUGAUCGGAAGAAGAAAAAAAAAUAUAUAUAUAUAAUAUCGAGAAAUUAAAUUACAAUUAAGUGAAGUUCAAAUGCGGAAAUAAGUUGGUAAACUUUUUGCAAAAAAUUCUGAGCAAAGUGUCGUCGAAAUAAAUGAGAACUUGUGCAUUCAAAUUUUGUAUUCUUAUUGCAGACAAGCAAAAGUAUUCUUGGACGCUUUAGUUGCUCAGGUACGUUGCGUUGAUUUGCCAUCAAAAAAGUGAAGAAAAGUUUCUGCUUUAGUUACCUCGACUUGCCUUCACUUGGCCCAUGAAAUUAGAAAUGGGGACUAGAGCGAGAACGAGAAUGAGAACGAGACGCAGGAACCGAGACCUCGUGUGCAGCAAUGCCAAACGUAGAGAGAGCCAAAUCACGUAAGUCGCAACUUGGUGGCUUAAGCUGGCAACGUGUGGCAAACGUGGAGCGGGGAUGAGGGAUGAGUCAUGUGUCUACGUUUACUUUGCUCUGAUUACAAAGCCAACAACAACGACAACAACAGCAAGAACAACAAUAACAACAAAUGCUAGACGCGAUUUGUUAACGCCCAAGCGGCAACAAAAAUUUUUCGCCAUUUUUCGAACCCCCCCGUUUUUGCCUUUGUCCUUGUCAUGUGCUUUUUCUCGGCAUGUGCCAACUUUGUUUUAAGUGAAAAUUGAAACUCAGCUCAGCAACUGUCCAUGCAGGCAUUCGCUUUUUAUUUUCUGAUUGCUUGGCCGGCCAAAUCUUGUAACUGAAAACUCAAAGCAAACUCUAAAGUCUACGUGACAGGCAAGUGUGUGUGUGCCUCAUCGCAAGCUGAAAAGGAGGAAAACAUGGUCAAAAAAAAUAAA